AACGCGAAGAACCUUACCUGGGCUCGAAAUGGAGUGGACCGGAGUGGAAACAUUCCUUCCCCGCAAGGGGCUGCUCUAUAGGUGCUGCAUGGCUGUCGUCAGCUCGUGUCGUGAGAUGUUGGGUUAAGUCCCGCAACGAGCGCAACCCUUAUUACCAGUUGCCAUCAUUAAGUUGGGCACUCAGGUGAGACCGCCUCGGAUAACGGGGAGGAAGGCGGGGAUGACGUCAAGUCCUCAUGGCCUUUAUGUCCAGGGCUACACACGUGCUACAAUGGCCGGUACAAACCGUCGCAAACCCGUGAGGGGGAGCUAAUCGGAAAAAGCCGGCCUCAGUUCGGAUUGUAGUCUGCAACUCGACUACAUGAAGCUGGAAUCGCUAGUAAUCGCGGAUCAGAACGCCGCGGUGAAUACGUUCCCGGGCCUUGUA
rnacentral:rRNA from 1 species